rnacentral:rRNA from 1 species
GACGAACGCUGGCGGCGUGCCUAAUACAUGCAAGUAGAACGCACAGUUUAUACCGUAGCUUGCUACACCAUAGACUGUGAGUUGCGAACGGGUGAGUAACGCGUAGGUAACCUGCCUGGUAGCGGGGGAUAACUAUUGGAAACGAUAGCUAAUACCGCAUAAUAUUGAUUAUUGCAUGAUAAUUAAUUGAAAGGUGCAAUUGCACCACUACCAGAUGGACCUGCGUUGUAUUAGCUAGUAGGUGAGGUAACGGCUCACCUAGGCGACGAUACAUAGCCGACCUGAGAGGGUGAUCGGCCACACUGGGACUGAGACACGGCCCAGACUCCUACGGGAGGCAGCAGUAGGGAAUCUUCGGCAAUGGACGAAAGUCUGACCGAGCAACGCCGCGUGAGUGAAGAAGGUUUUCGGAUCGUAAAGCCCUGUUGUAAGAGAAGAACGGGUGUGAGAGUGGAAAGUUCACACUGUGACGGUAUCUUACCAGAAAGGGACGGCUAACUACGUG